UACGUAGGGUGCAAGCGUUGUCCGGAAUUAUUGGGCGUAAAGAGCUCGUAGGCGGUUUGUCGCGUCUGCUGUGAAAACGCGGGGCUCAACUCCGCGCCUGCAGUGGGUACGGGCAGACUAGAGUGCGGUAGGGGGAGACUGGAAUUCCUGGUGUAGCGGUGAAAUGCGCAGAUAUCAGGAGGAACACCGAUGGCGAAGGCAGGUCUCUGGGCAUUAACUGACGCUGAGGAGCGAAAGCAUGGGGAGCGAACAGG
rnacentral:rRNA from 1 species